GCCGGAGUGGCGAAAUGGCAGACGCUGAUCCCUCAAAAGGAUUUGUCCGAAAGGGCGUGUGGGUUCGAAUCCCACCUCCGGCACCU
rnacentral:tRNA from 1 species